AAUCACUGAAGAUUGGACAUAAGAAAAAAUGUUACCCUCUUGCAAAGGAGGAAAGAAGAGAGAUCCCAAAAGCUGACUGCCUGGCUCCAUUCUCCAGUAGAGGCCUGUGGUGGAUGCUUCAUCGCUGUGACAUAAUACCUACUGGAACAAUGCGUGGCACUAGACAUCAAAGAAGCUAAAAAAGAAAGGUGCUGGGUGUGACAAUGACCUGUAAUAUAGUAAGAACAAUGGGAUGCCCUCCACAUAGCAAAAGCUAUGAAAGACCCUGGAAAAACCUCCAUUUUGGUCUUCAAUCCUGCUUCUGACCUCUGGAGGAACUUUGCUACAAACUGAAGCUCUGCGCAAUGGACU